CGUGGGCAAUCUGCCCUGCACUCUGGGACAAGCCCUGGAAACGGGGUCUAAUACCGGAUAAUACUGUGCCCCUCAUGGGGGAUGGUUAAAAGCUCCGGCGGUGCAGGAUGAGCCCGCGGCCUAUCAGCUUGUUGGUGGGGUAAUGGCCUACCAAGGCGACGACGGGUAGCCGGCCUGAGAGGGCGACCGGCCACACUGGGACUGAGACACGGCCCAGACUCCUACGGGAGGCAGCAGUGGGGAAUAUUGCACAAUGGGCGAAAGCCUGAUGCAGCGACGCCGCGUGAGGGAUGACGGCCUUCGGGUUGUAAACCUCUUUCAGCAGGGAAGAAGCGAAAGUGACGGUACCUGCAGAAGAAGCGCCGGCUAACUACGUGCCAGCAGCCGCGGUAAUACGUAGGGCGCAAGCGUUGUCCGGAAUUAUUGGGCGUAAAGAGCUCGUAGGCGGUCUGUCACGUCGGGUGUGAAAGCCCGGGGCUUAACCCCGGGUCUGCAUUCGAUACGGGCA
rnacentral:rRNA from 1 species